UAGGGAAUCUUCCGCAAUGGGCGAAAGCCUGACGGAGCAACGCCGCGUGAGUGAUGAAGGUCUUCGGAUCGUAAAACUCUGUUAUUAGGGAAGAACAAAUGUGUAAGUAACUAUGCACGUCUUGACGGUACCUAAUCAGAAAGCCACGGCUAACUACGUGCCAGCAGCCGCGGUAAUACGUAGGUGGCAAGCGUUAUCCGGAAUUAUUGGGCGUAAAGCGCGCGUAGGCGGUUUUUUAAGUCUGAUGUGAAAGCCCACGGCUCAACCGUGGGGGGUCAUUGGAAACUGGAAAACUUGAGUGCAGAAGAGGGAAGUGGAAUUCCAUGUGUAGCGGUGAAAUGCGCAGAGAUAUGGAGGAAAACCAGUGGCGAAGGCGACUUUCUGGUCUGUAACUGACGCUGAUGGGCGAAAGCGUGGGGAUCAAACAGG
rnacentral:rRNA from 1 species